CAUCAUCCAUCCAUCCAUCAUCCAUCCAUCAUCCAUCCAUCCAUCCAUCAUCCAUCCAUCCAUCCAUCCACCCAUCCAUCCAGCCAUCAUCCAUCCAUCCGUCCAUCAUCCAUCCAUCCAUCCAUCUACCCAUCCAUCCUCCAUCCAUCCAACCAUCCAACCAUCCAUCUACCCAUCCAGCCAUCAUCCAUCCAUCCAUCCAUCCAUCAUCCAUCCAUCAUCCAUCCAUCCAACCAUCCAUCUACCCAUCCAGCCAUCAAUCAUCCAUCCAUCCAUCCAUCAUCCAUCCAUCCAUCUAUCCAUCAUCCAUCCAUCCAUCCAUCCAUCAUCCAUCCAUCCAUCCAUCCAUCCAUCCAUCCAUCCAUACCCAUCCAUCCAUCAUCCAUCCAGCCAUCAUCCAUCCAUCCAUCCAUCCAUCCAAACUCCCAUCCUCCCUCUCUCACUCCCUUCUUUCCUCUCCCUCUCCAUCUAUCUGGUCAUCCACCCAGCAUCCAUCCACCCAUCAUCCAUCCAUCCACCCAUUCAUCCACCCAAAUAUCCAUCCAUUCAAACAUCCAAUCAUCCAUCCAUCCAACCAUCUAUCCUUCCUUCCUUCCUUCCAUCACCUAUUCACCCACCCACCCAUCCUUCCAUCUAUCCAUCCAUUCCUCCCUCUUUUCCUCCCUCCCUCCCUCUCUUUCUCUACAUCCUCUGGCAAGCAUCCUUCUAGACCCUGGGGAUACAGGGUAAACCUGGUCCCUGCUCUCACCAGUGAAUGAUAGCUGCAGAUGCAGAAUAAUAUCACACAAGUAAUAAUCCCACGAGAGCUGUGAGGAGCACCAGGAAGGAAGACGCAGCAUCCUACAGGGUGUGUGACCGGGGCCUCACCUCCUGUGCAGGUCGGGAGGGCUUCUCUGAGCUGCGAGGAGUUGGGGUAACCUGGUCAAGAGAGUGGAGAAGAGCUAUCCUGGCAGGCGGAACAGAAGGUACAAAGCCUCUGAGGCAGGAAGGUCUUGGUGAGUUGGGGAGAAAAGAAACUCAGUGUGUGUGUGUGUGUGUGUGUGUCGGGGGUUGGAGGAGGGUGUGAGGAGGCUGUCCAGGAGGCCAGGGGCCUAGGCCUCGGAUCAGGGCAGUGAUCCGAUGACACUGACGUCCUUGGGGGCAGUUGAUCACUUUGGGGGCACGGGCUCACCACGGACCCCUCCAAUUCUGUUUGGCACUCUUUACUUUCCCAAAAGGUGACUCUGGAAGGGACCUCAAGGUCGAGAUGGGCCCUCGGAGGCUUUAGAUGCCGAAGCAGUUUCGUUUGGCCGAGUCAGCUGAAGGAGCACGUGGGCCUGUAAUGGGGGGAGUGCGUGUGCUGGGGGCCGGUUCACACGCCCGGGACUCCUGUGGGCAGCACGGCUCAGCUUCCCCUGUCUGUUAAUGGUACAAUCUGUUCAGACCUUUGGAACAUUCCUCAGCUUUUAUUUAAUGUGGGAAGAAUCAUUUCUGGAAUUAGCAUAUAAAUUGGCACAAGUCAGCAACUCGGGCAGAAAGCGCGUUCCCAGGUGUCAGGCUGGACGGCGGGGACGAUGACCCAGUGCUCCAGGCUCUGGCUCCUUCCGUCUUCCUUCAAGGGGCUGUGGGCGUCCACCCCUGAGAAGCCGCAGACGAGCUGAUCCUUGUCGUGCUGACUUCUGCUCGUCGUGUCCUGGACAACCUCGGGGCUGGGUUUCCUCUUCUCGGUGGCUUGGCCCCCAGGCCCGGCCUGGGUCGCUGCUCUGCCUUCCUCAUGGACCAGCGUGUCUGACAUUCUCCCCCCACAAGAUUCCUGCGUGGCUUUCGGUCAGUUGAAAGUCACUCAAAUAGGCUUCCUGAAUAACAGAGUCGGGCAGCUUGCUAGAUGCUCAUUUUUUGCAUUCAUUGAAUUUUCUAACAACCUUCCGGAAACGUCCUUUCCUUGCAGAAUUCAAAGGCAUUUGCAAAGCAUUAAAGAAACACGCUCCCUGGACG
rnacentral:lncRNA from 1 species